rnacentral:rRNA from 1 species
UACGUAGGUGGCAAGCGUUGUUCGGAAUUAUUGGGCGUAAAGGGCGCGUAGGCGGUCUUGUAAGUCAGCUGUGAAAGCCCGGGGCUCAACCCCGGAGGGUCGGCUGAUACUGCAGGACUGGAGUACGGAAGAGGUAGCUGGAAUUCCCGGUGUAGCGGUGAAAUGCGUAGAUAUAGGGAGGAACACCUGAGGCGAAGGCGGGCUACUGGGCCGAUACUGACGCUGAGGCGCGAAAGCCAGGGGAGCAAACGGG